AUUGAACGCUGGCGGCAGGCCUAACACAUGCAAGUCGAGCGGUAGCACAGAGAGCUUGCUCUCGGGUGACGAGCGGCGGACGGGUGAGUAAUGUCUGGGAAACUGUCUGAUGGAGGGGGAUAACUACUGGAAACGGUAGCUAAUACCGCAUAACGUCGCAAGACCAAAGUGGGGGACCUUCGGGCCCCAUGCCAUCAGAUGUGCCCAGAUGGGAUUAGCUAGUAGGUGGGGUAACGGCUCACCUAGGCGACGAUCCCUAGCUGGUCUGAGAGGAUGACCAGCCACACUGGAACUGAGACACGGUCCAGACUCCUACGGGAGGCAGCAGUGGGGAAUAUUGCACAAUGGGCGCAAGCCUGAUGCAGCCAUGCCGCGUGUGUGAAGAAGGCCUUCGGGUUGUAAAGCACUUUCAGCGGGGAGGAAGGCGAUAAGGUUAAUAACCUUGUCGAUUGACGUUACCCGCAGAAGAAGCACCGGCUAACUCCGUGCCAGCAGCCGCCGCUGUAA
rnacentral:rRNA from 1 species